rnacentral:rRNA from 1 species
CAGGUCUUGACAUCCCGAUGCAAACUCUAGAGAUAGANUCCUUCUUCNNAACAUUGGAGACAGGUGGUGCAUGGUUGUCGUCAGCUCCUGUCGUGAGAUGUUGGGUUAAGUCCCGCAACGAGCGCAACCCUUGAUCUUAGUUGCCAGCAAUUCGGUUGGGCACUCUAAGGUGACUGCCGGUGACAAACCGGAGGAAGGUGGGGAUGACGUCAAAUCAUCAUGCCCCUUAUGACCUGGGCUACACACGUACUACAAUGGGCUGGUACAACGGGAAGCGAAACCGCGAGGUGGAGCNAAUCCUAAAAANCCNGUCUCAGUUCGGAUUGUAGGCUGCAACUCGCCUACAUGAAGUCGGAAUUGCUAGUAAUCGCGGAUCAGCAUGCCGCGGUGAAUACGUUCCC